UCAAGUUGUUUUCUUGAUUAGUCCCAAUACAAGUACCUGGAUGUUUCAGUUGAAGGUAUUGUAUUUACUCACCCCUUCCAUUCCUCUCCAUGAGAGCUGCAUCUAGUUGGCCAUCUUGGCCACUCCUUCCCAGUUUUUUAUAAAUAGGAUUACACUACAGAUAUUUUUAUAAUGCACAUUUUUACUCAUAAACCUGGCAUGGGUGUGUUUGCAUGUCAAUAAAUCUAGAGCUACCAAAUCAUUUUUAUGAACCAUAAAAUAUUUUUUAAGGUAAAUACCAUAACUAAUAUGUCCAGUCUUUUGUUAAUGAACAUUUCAAUUGCUUCCAGUUUUUCACUAUUAUAAAUUAUGCUGCCAUGAACUUAUAUGUACAUAUGUUUGAAUUUUGCAUGAGUAGUGUAAAUUCAGGGAGAAAUUGCUGGGAGGAAGGUAAGCACAUUUAUUAUUUCCAAGUUUAAUAUUACCAGAAGGAGAGUGUAUCUUUUCUUUUGUAUAAUGCAUGGGAAAGACAAUGGAGAGGAGGAUGCCUAAAUGUAAAUGAAUUGAGAGAAAGAAGUUCACGCUUUGUUCCACCAAGAGUAGGUAGAAACUUCCUAGAAUAGAUGAUAGAAUCUGUUCUGCAUCUGUAAGCCAUUCUGUGGGUCUUUAAAAUCUUUCUUUGUUAUGGAAUCUUGUAUUCCAGUGUAUGACAAUCUUCAGCAUAGCAGAAAAUUUAUUAAAGUUUUAUCAAAAGUGUAAAUUUGGUGUGGGUAGCAAGAAGAAGGAUUUUGUUGGAGUAGAAUAAUGCCACAGCCUAUGUGCAUUUCAUCCACUUCUCCUCUUGCUCCAAGCCAACCUGUGGACUCCCUCAUGAUACCAGUUCUGUUGUGGUGUCUUGUAAAGUUACUCAUGAUCUCCUCCUGGUAUUCAUGUGGCUCCUUCACAAAUAUUUUAUUCCCACAUCCCUGUUGAAGAAAAUGAUAGCGUUUGAUAUAUUUAUUUCCUCAUCUCUUUUUCUCUGCCUUACAUUAGAUAAGUACUCUGAAAAGACAAGUUGGAAGAAGUUAGAGUUUUAGGGUUGAGGACACAGGUUUUGGGGUCUGUGUUAGGGUAAUGCAAGAAUAUGCUGUGGCGGCAACAAAAACAACAACAACAACAACAAGAACAGCAACAAAACCAGAAAAUCUCUGGAGUGUUAGGGGAUUAACAUAACAAAGGUUUGUUUCUUGCUUUCAGAAAGUCUAAUGCACAUCUCGUGAUUCCUCACAGUAACCCUCUUCCACAUGGUGUCUCAUGGAUUCAGGCUCUGUAUUUGAAGACUGUACCAUCUCAACUCAUGGCUUUGAGAGUUACUGCUUUUAAAUGCCUCAGCUCAGAAAAGGCACACACAUCAUUGUAAUUUGCUCCUUGUUUUGCUCUCACCUACUGGGCACAUGACCUCAGUCUAAGUGCAUGGAGGCUGGAAGAUGCAGGGUAGCACACAGAAUAUUUGAGGCAUGGUUUGCAUAUCCAUCAUAGUUCAUGACUGACAAUCUAGAGGUUGGAGCUAACAUUGAAAAACAUAUUGAUUAUUAUGGGACCAAGUGUUUCCCAAAU
rnacentral:lncRNA from 1 species